CCCUUAGAUGUUCUGGGCCGCACGCGCGCUACACUGAUGCAUUCAACGAGUAAUCUUUGACCUUGGUCGACAGAUCUGGGUAAUCUUUUGAAAUUGCAUCGUGAUGGGGCUUGCGGGUUGCAAUUACCCGCACCAACGAGGAAUUCCUAGUAAACGCAAGUCAUCAACUUGCAUUGAUUACGUCCCUGCCCUUUGUACACACCGCCCGUCGCUCCUACCGAUUGAGCGGUCCGGUGAAGACUCAGGAGAUGGGCGCGUGCUUGGUUCGCCAACUGCGCUGCCUGCCAAAUUUGUCUAGACCUUAUCGCUUAGAGGAAGGAGAAGUCGUAACA
rnacentral:rRNA from 1 species